CCUUAUCUUGAUUACUAUAGUUUUAUAGUAAGCUCUCUAAAGAUAUUAAUUUUUUAAAGUUUUCUUCCUGCAGAGUGGGUUUUUCCCCUUGAAGUUACUGUUGCUGCUAUUUUUUUCUACUUUAGACUUCUUGUUAGGGGCUUUCCUCAAAUGAUUGGAAAUUUUUGGCUCUGUGCUCAUGAUUAUAAGAGUAGAGGAUUAACAUGUUCAUAAGCUCCGAGUGCUUUUUGACUUUGAGCAUCACUGUGGGUGCUGUUUGUUGGAGAACCCCUGUGCUAUGGUUUGAAUGUUUGUCCCCUCUGAAACUCAUUUUGAAACCUAAUCCCCAUCAUGGCAUAUUGAGAAGCAGGGCCUUUAAGAGGUGAUUGUCUCCAGUCAGAAGACAGCUUUUGUGGCAAUUUGGUGUACCACCAGCUAAGUAGUUUAGUUCGUUUAUAUGGCAUGUAUGAAUUUUCAAUAAAUGCCUAAAAUUCAAGCAUUUCUCAUUUAGGAUAGAAAAAAAAGGUGAUUGUAUCCUGAGGGCUCUGCCCUCAUGAAUGGAUUAGUGGGUUAAUGGAUUAAAGGGUUAUCAUGGAAGUGGGACUGGUGGCUUUAUAAGAAGAGGAAGAGAGACCCAAGCUAGCAUGCUCAACCCCCUCGCCAUGUGAUUCUCUGUGCCGCCUCAGGACUCUGCAGAGAGUCCCUGCAAGCAAGAAGGCUCUCACCAGAUGUGGCUCCUCGACCUUGGACUUCUCAGCAUUCAGAACUGUAAGAAGCACUCCUAAAGUAAAACACAGGAAGUCCCUUUUGACCAGCUUUACCAGGAAUCUGGUGGCAGUUGAAUUUCAAAGAACUAAUGCUUAUAAAAGCACAGUGUUAUAGAUUGGGAUCUUUUCACUGACGGGAACAGCUUUAUGGACAACGAAGGGCUGGAUAUGUGGUGGUCACGAAAUGUACUGCUGGCUGCGAAUUCAGCCCAGGAAGAUGAGCUGAUUGCUUUAACCAGAACCAGAGCUCUUCAGUUAUCCAGAGGAAGAAAAGAUCCCCAUCCCAGUUGGAAGCAGAGAAGUAGAAGGGACCCUAUGAAGGGCCCUCUAACAAUACACACUUCAUUGAAACUGUCAGGAGUAAAACCUUGGGUUCAUCAUACCAGAGUAAAAAGGUGUCCCAUGGAAGAAGAGGGCCCAAGCCCCCAGCUGAUGGGCCAGCCUUUAGGCAAUCUAACGUAUCUGUUUAAGAAGAAGGAAAAAUGAAAAUGUUGAUAUUUUUGCUAACUUUUAUUUGGUUAUUUGUUCUGUCUAUAGAAUGGAGAGGCAAUCCCUUAGUGAGGAUUUCCCCAAACUAUCACCUUUUCUGCUGAUCUGUCUCACUGCUGGGUUUGUCAUACUUGUUUGGCACAAGUAUUCCUGUAUAUAAUUUCUUACACUUUGAAUUUGCAGAA